UCCGGUUUGUCACCGGCAGUCUCACUAGAGUGCCCAACUGAAUGCUGGCAACUAGUAAUAAGGGUUGCGCUCGUUGCGGGACUUAACCCAACAUCUCACGACACGAGCUGACGACAGCCAUGCAGCACCUGUGUUCGAGUUCCCGAAGGCACCAAUCCAUCUCUGGAAAGUUCUCGACAUGUCAAGGCCAGGUAAGGUUCUUCGCGUUGCAUCGAAUUAAACCACAUACUCCACCGCUUGUGCGGGCCCCCGUCAAUUCCUUUGAGUUUCAGCCUUGCGGCCGUACUCCCCAGGCGGGGCACUUAAUGCGUUAGCUGCGACACCGAAGGGGUCGUUCCCCCCGGCAUCUAGCACCCAUCGUUUACAGCGUGGACUAC
rnacentral:misc_RNA from 1 species